rnacentral:rRNA from 1 species
CCUACGGGAGGCAGCAGUGAGGAAUAUUGGUCAAUGGGCGCGAGCCUGAACCAGCCAAGUCGCGUGAGGGAAGACGGUCCUAUGGAUUGUCACCCUCUUUUGUCGGGGAGCAAAAGACGCCACGCGUGGCGUUCCGAGAGUACCCGAAGAAAAAGCAUAGGCUAACUCCGUGCCAGCAGCCGCGGUAAUACGGAGGAUGCGAGCGUUAUCCGGAUUUAUUGGGUUUAAGGGGUGCGCAGGCGGAAGAUCAAGUCAGCGGUAAAAUUGAGAGGCUCAGCCGCUUCGAGCCGUUGAAACUGGUUUUCUUGAGUGAGCGAGAAGGAUGCGGAAUGCGUGGUGUAGCGGUGAAAUGCAUAGAUAUCACGCAGAACUCCGAUUGCAAAGGCAGCAUACCGGCGCUCAACUGACGCUGAUGCACGAAAGUGUGGGUAGCGAACAGGAUUAGAUACCCCUGUAGUC